rnacentral:rRNA from 1 species
ACUCCCUAACCCUUCUGUGAACCUACCUAUCGUUGCUUCGGCGGACUCGCCCCAGCCCGGACGCGGACUGGACCAGCGGCCCGCCGGGGACCUCAAACUCUUGUAUUCCAGCAUCUUCUGAAUACGCCGCAAGGCAAAACAAAUGAAUCAAAACUUUCAACAACGGAUCUCUUGGCUCUGGCAUCGAUGAAGAACGCAGCGAAACGCGAUAAGUAAUGUGAAUUGCAGAAUCCAGUGAAUCAUCGAAUCUUUGAACGCACAUUGCGCCCGCCAGCAUUCUGGCGGGCAUGCCUGUUCGAGCGUCAUUUCAACCCUCGACCCCCCCUUGGGGAGGUCGGCGUUGGGGACCGGCAGCACACCGCCGGCCCUGAAAUGGAGUGGCGGCCCGUCCGCGGCGACCUCUGCGUAGUAAUACAGCUCGCACCGGAACCCCGACGCGGCCACGCCGUAAAACACCCAACUUCUGAACGUUGACCUCGAAUCAGGUAGGACUACCCGCUGAACUUAAGCAUAUCA